UGCUUAAGGAUCGCACUCCGC
rnacentral:siRNA from 1 species